rnacentral:rRNA from 1 species
UACGAAGGGGGCUAGCGUUGCUCGGAAUCACUGGGCGUAAAGGGUGCGUAGGCGGGUCUUUAAGUCAGGGGUGAAAUCCUGGAGCUCAACUCCAGAACUGCCUUUGAUACUGAGGAUCUUGAGUUCGGGAGAGGUGAGUGGAACUGCGAGUGUAGAGGUGAAAUUCGUAGAUAUUCGCAAGAACACCAGUGGCGAAGGCGGCUUACUAAGCUUGCAUUGACACUGAGGCACGAAAGCGUGGGGAUCAAACAGG